AUGUCCCAGUGCCCGGGCUCAGCACUGGUCACACAUUCCCUGCCAUGUCCACCAAGCCCAGAGAUGAGCUGGGGCUGGGGAGUCGGAGGAGAGGCGAGAGGUGGAGUCUGCUCUUCUGAGUGCCGGCGUUCCUUCGCCUCCUCCCUCGGGGCACUGGCCUCUGCCGGGAGCUCUGGAGCAGAGACAUCUUCAUCAGGGCCUGGUUCUCCAGCAGCAGCUGCAGCAGCUCCUCGGAGCAGCCGUGGCCCUGGCAGCACGGCCGUGCAGAGGCCCCGGCGCUCUGGCUCUUGGCCUGCAACACCCAGCACAGGGAGCCCGAUGGAGGGGCGGAGGGGCCUCGGGGCUGAGCCCUCGGGCGCUGCCCUUGGCCUCUCCUGCACAGAGAGCCUGGGCCCGGCCGGGCUGCCCCGGGCAGAGGCUGCAGCAAGAGCAGCUCCGGGCUCAGCCGGGCCCGUUCCUGCCCAGCGCCGGGCUCAGCCCCCGCUCCGCCAAAGCCUUGGCCGAAGGGCUGCCCCAGAGGCACCCGCGGGGCCUGCCCAGCUCUGCUCCCCCACGGGGACCCUCGGCCCUCGCCCCACACCCUCCUGGCCCAAGGCCGUGGCGGCCCCGGCACCGGCCCACCUGCCUCAGCCCCUCCCUCACCUCUCCCCAGCGUCUCCUGAGCCCUCUGACAAGGACCCAGCCCACGUAAAAGCCCCUGAGAAUCAGGGCCACGGCUGCGCAGAUCCACGGCAGCGCCUCCAGGACCAGCAUGGCGUCCCUCCCUGGCGCCACGGCCUCCUGCUCCUCCAGGGCCUGGGGAAGCGCAUCCCAGCUCCCUGUGUCCCCAGCAGCGUGGCUGGAAGGGUCCAGCGGCUGCACCAAGAGCGGCAGCAGCCGCAAGAGCCCCUGGCUGAGCAUGGUGCUGCUGACGGACGAGCUGCCCCCGCUGAACAGGCUCUGGACGUCCUUCCCAGCCGACUUCUGCCUGGGCUCUGGGCACGGCGACGGGCUGGGGACACUUACCAACCACCACGCUGUCCCCAAAGGCUGUGA
rnacentral:lncRNA from 13 species